UUUCAUUCCCUAGAUGGUACCAUGAAACUCUGUGACUUCCAUUGAGGGAUGGAGAAAUGGGCUGGCUUUUCUCCAUCCCAGGAUCAUGGCAACCAUUCUCAUGUGAGAGCCAGAGUAGAUGAACUUCACUAAGCCAGCAUGUGCCUGGGCCCUAGCUGCUUCUCCAACUUUAUCUAUUUCUUUUCCUUAAAAGUGAUUGAACACUAGCUUCAAAAUGGACAUAUCCUGACUUGGAGGUUAUUUUGUGGGUUCGAGAAUGUCCAUCUGGCACAGGUGACUGAUGGUGAGGGGAGUUUCAUCACCAAAGAAGAGGACCACCAGCAAGGGGAUGACUAAGAACUGCUUGGACAGUGCAGAGGCGAGGUGAGAUGUUACCUUGAGAAUUCAGUGUUCCCACAAACAGUAUUCUUGGGUUCAUGUCCUGAAUUUGAAGUACCAGGCUCCUUAAUAAUAGUUAUAUGUUAAAUUAUAACAUUUCAUUUUGUUAUACUAGCGAUGUCUAUUGUGAGACUUUUGUAACUUUUAGCAUUUUUUGUUGUGUGUAGAAAAUAAAUACUUCUUCAAUAACUGAUUCAUACUGUGAAUUGAGUACCUUUUUUGUGAGCCACAACUUAAGCAAUUUUCCCCUCUCAGUUGCUUGUGUGGGGUUAUAACAAGCCAAAGAAAAGGGACCCAAGUCCCCUCACAGAGACUUAGAAAAAUUAGAGAUACUACUUGUAACUUUGGAGAGAGAAGUUUCAGUGAAAUGAUGACAUCAGAAGUCAGAUUGUAACAAAGUGAACAAAGAGAAGAAGGAAAGCAGAUACAAUAAAAGUAUUCCAUUUUGGCCACAUUGUAAAGUAGGUGGUGUUUGGUGGUAUAAUUAAAGAAGUCCGUCAAAAAGCCUUGAAUACCAGUUUAAGGAGUCUCUAUUCUUCCCUACAACAGUGAGUAGGAAAAUGGACUGAAUUAACAAGCCUUCUUAAUGAAGGUCAAGGCUACGCUAGGACUGAAACCAUUUAGAACACAGAGAACCAAUGACAUCCCAGGUUGCUAUCUUGAUUCUCAGUGGAUUGGAUUUAAGUGUGGCAGAGUUGCACCAAAUUCUCAGCUUCACUCACUCUUCAAGUCUUCAAGAAGUUCAGUGACAGGACAAAAGUCACAAUGGCUGGCAAUGGAAGCAAAUGCGGUGGAUGGCCUCGGCAUCUGUGAUAUAUGACCAAGCUCUAAGCCCUCCACAGGGCCUGCUUUAGCCACCUUCAUGGCCACUGGAACAAAGUAUUCUCAACCACCCAUUCCUCCAGGGAAAGUCUUCAUAUUUGUGGAGCAGACACUCCCAAACUUACGGACAGGAUUGAGCCCUGUGGGCUACCCUUAACAUGGUCUAGCCUGUCUGCCAAGAUGGUUUUGCCAGGGUUGUGGCUGCUGGUCAUGCUUUAGCUUCUUGCAGUCACAAGUGAGAGCUGGGUCAGAGGUGGACCCCAAAGAAGCCCUCCCACCAGAGAUACCGGUCCUCCCUAGACACCCCAUACACCUCUCUACCUCUGUGAAGACUUAGACAUUUGCCUAGACUAGAACACUGAGAAGGUAUAUGAUUUGAUGGGUCACUCAGCACUUUACAUGGGCAGGACAUGAACUCAGAUCUUGAUUGAGGCUAAUUAUCUACUAUAUUGAGCUCCCUUUCUCAUAGGGGGAAAAAUAAAAAGGAGAAUCAGGGCCCA
rnacentral:lncRNA from 1 species